AGCGAUGCGCAGACAUCUUUGUUGUGGGCGAAACGAGGUGACCGCAGAGUCUGUCACCCAGGUUGGAGUGCGGUGGUGUGAUCUUGGCUCCCUGCAACCUCCACCUCCCAGGUUCAAGCGAUUCUCCUGCCUCAGCCUCCCAAGUAGCUGCGAUUACAGGCACCCACCACCAUGAAGAAUGGCAUUUUUAAAAGAUGGCUUUCUUAAAAAAGGAUACUCAGUUGCUCUUCUACUCAUACCAAGUCCUGCAGACACAUUCUGGGACUGCACCUUAUGAGUGCUGCUCACUCUGUUUCCUGCAGAAGACAUACAGAGCCGUUCGCAUAGAGGGCCAUGAUUUUGAUUCAGCAAUUCUUCAAACCACUGAUGCUGGUUGACCAUUUGACUUUGUUUUUGAAGUAUUUUUUACAUACAGUGUACAGAACAUUUCCGCUGGAUAUUUGGAUACUGAACAGGAGUAACAAGAGGAACAGCUCCUACCUCCCCCCUGCCCCUUCCCUCACAAGCCUGUGAGUCAGGGCAGGGGCAGCCACUGAAAGUAGCAGAGGCCUUCAUAAAGGAGAAGUUGUCAGGUAGACCUUUGGAUUAACUCCCCAAAAGCAGCCCCCUAGGAGACAGGCGACAGCACCGCAGUCAGGGGAUGCAGGCGUGGAGGCACUUCUCCAUGUUGCCAUCAUGUGAAGAAGGACAUGUUUGCUUCUGCUUCUGCCACGAGUGUUGAAGGCAAUGGUGAUGAAAGUAAAUAUUUAAAAACACUACCAUAGCUGUCCCAAAUUUCAGAAAAACAAGGUACCACUGGAACCAUUUAAUUUUGUUGGAACACAGAAUGACCAUCUUGUGAUCAGUUUUCUGCAUCUUUAAAAUACCUGGAAGGUCAUCUUUAAAUAGUACAAUCUGAUAAAAGUUUAAUACUUAGUGUAGACUUAUAUGAAUACUUCUACAUUCAUACAUUUUUGUAUACUUAUACAUUUUCAUACUCAAUUAAUGCUUAAUUCAAAAAAUAUCUGAGUACCUGCAGUGUUCCCCAUGCUACAUACUGGGCUUAAACAGCCAAAAAGACACAGUCUUUGACCUCAAAAUACUUUGAUUCUUGUAAGAAAAACUGACAAAGACAAAGAGAAGGCAAUGUGAAAACUUCUACAGUUGGGAUAACCUUGGAGGUUACAGGAUGUGGACUCACUGAAAGCUUUCUGCUGGACUUGAACUUGAAGCUGAAGUCUGAAGGACAGAUGGGUGUUGCUUAGCGAAGGGAAAGUAGGAAGCAAAGACCCCUGGACAGAGUGUAGCAGGCACAGAGGGAGCAUGACACCUUCGGGAGAGAGCCGCAAGCACCUGGGCCCAGAUCCCAGCUUUAGCUUCAUUAGCCCUGUGAACUCUGUAUGUCAGCCUUGACAUAGAAAAAAAGAGGAUACUAAACCUCCAUCUUAAAAGAGACUUGGAAGAAGCUGGGAUUAUAGGCACACCACCACACCUGGCCCCAGAAAAGGGAAUCCUUGACCUGCAAGAAUCGAGGAAUAUUGUUUCUGACAUGCUCAGUGGACCUACUGCUGGUGUUCUUAACCAUUUCCUUCCUAAGUGGAACUUCUUUUGAGGUUAAUGUUUAUAUACAAUUACUUUAACAUUGGAUUUGGGAAAUGGAACAACAUACUGCGGAUCUUUCUGCUACCGAUGAAAGAAGAAGCCAGCAUGCUCGUUCCUGUGCAUGCUGGUGAAACAGACGUGGCCUGCCCUGCCUUUCUCCAAUCUCUCUCCCGCAGCCCAGCCCAGCCCAGCCUGGUUUAAUAGCAGGGGGAGUUGGCACCGUUCACAGCUGGUUAACACCCUACUGAGCAGGUUUUGAAUGCAGAAAGACUGAGAAAACUUCACUAUUCAUGUAAGAAAAAUAGGCUCCACGGGAUCCCUUGAUCAGGAUGGUGGUAGAGGAAAUGAACUUCCAUCAGCACUGUAAUGAUCUCAGAGGGGGGACAAGUUCACAGUGUUGGGGAGAGGAAAGUGUCCUCUUAGCUGCCUCCCAUGACUUCAGGGGCCCAUUUGAUGAUAAUAGGACACUCUCUGGACAAAGCCUGCAGAUGGAUUUGAUCAAGCAAGAGAGCUGAGGAUGAAUGCGAAAAAAAAAAAAGUGGUCCUGAUGGCUCCUUGACCAUGAAAUAAAGGUCAUCAAUGAGGGAAGACAGGAGACUCCAGGAGCACAGAGACAGUGACAAAGCAAUGGAUAAAGGAAUUGUGGGUACCAGUGAGAUGGAAGGAUUAUGGGAUUUGGAGUCCUAGGGACAAAGAUGGAAAGACUGGAGGGUGCUUGGAGAGGAACUGUGAUUGGUGAUGUCAAGAUCAAGAGUACUGUCUUACAGGGGAACCAGUGACAGAGGUCAAGAAGAAGAUGAGACCACUGCAAUGGUAAUUUCAUGACAUGUACAGGUGUUGAUAAUUCCUUUGUGCUGGACAAGGUAAAACAAAGAGGGGUGAUGACUUUGAAAUGUUCUUAAUAAAAAAUUCCAGCAAUAA
rnacentral:lncRNA from 10 species